ACGGGAGGCAGCAGUCGGGAAUUUUGCGCAAUGGAGGAAACUCUGACGCAGUGACGCCGCGUGCAGGAUGAAGGUUUUCGGAUUGUAAACUGCUUUAGACAGGGAAGAAAAAAGACAGUAUCUGUAGAAUAAGCUCCGGCUAACUACGUGCCAGCAGCCGCGGUAAUACGUAGGGAGCAAGCGUUAUCCGGAUUUAUUGGGUGUAAAGGGUGCGUAGACGGGAAAAUAAGUUAGCUGUGAAAUCCCUCGGCUCAACCGAGGAACUGCAACUAAAACUGUUUUUCUUGAGUACUGGAGAGGAAAGUGGAACUCCUAGUGUAGCGGUGAAAUGCGUAGAUAUUAGGAGGAACAUCAGUGGCGAAGGCGACUUUCUGGACAGAAACUGACGUUGAGGCACGAAAGUGUGGGGAGCAAACAGGAUUAGAUACCCUGGUA
rnacentral:rRNA from 1 species